rnacentral:rRNA from 1 species
CCUACGGGAGGCAGCAGUGAGGAAUAUUGGUCAAUGGGCGUAAGCCUGAACCAGCCAAGUAGCGUGCAGGAUGACUGCCCUACGGGUUGUAAACUUCUUUUAUACGGGAAUAAUGCGCGCUACGUGUAGCGUUUUGGAUGUACCGUAUGAAUAAGGAACGGCGAAAUCCGUGCCAACAGCCGCGGUAAUUCGGGGGGUCCGGGCGUUUUCCGGAUUUAAUUGGUUUAAAGGGAGCGGAGGGCGGAUGUCAAGUGCGAUGUGAAAGUUUCGGGCUCAACCCGGGCCUUGCAGGGGAUACUGGCGUGCUUGAGUGGGCGGGAAGCAGGCGGAAUUCGUGGUGUAGCGGUGAAAUGCUUAGAUAUGACGAAGAACCCCGAUUGCGAAGGCAGCUUACUGGAGCGGAACUGACGUUGAUGCUCGAAAGCGUGGGUAUCGAACAGGAUUAGAUACCCGUGUAGUC